rnacentral:rRNA from 1 species
CUACGGGGGGCUGCAGUGGGGAAUAUUGCACAAUGGGCGCAAGCCUGAUGCAGCCAUGCCGCGUGUAUGAAGAAGGCCUUCGGGUUGUAAAGUACUUUCAGCGGGGAGGAAGGGAGUAAAGUUAAUACCUUUGCUCAUUGACGUUACCCGCAGAAGAAGCACCGGCUAACUCCGUGCCAGCAGUCGCGGUAAUACGGAGGGUGCAAGCGUUAAUCGGAAUUACUGGGUGUAAAGCGCACGCAGGCGGUUUGUUAAGUCAGAUGUGAAAUCCCCGGGCUCAACCUGGGAACUGCAUCUGAUACUGGCAAGCUUGAGUCUCGUAGAGGGGGGUAGAAUUCCAGGUGUAGCGGUGAAAUGCGUAGAGAUCUGGAGGAAUACCGGUGGCGAAGGCGGCCCCCUGGACGAAGACUGACGCUCAGGUGCGAAAGCGUGGGGAGCAAACAGGAUUAGAUACCCGUGUAGUC